CCUACGGGGGGCAGCAGUGGGGAAUAUUGGGCAAUGGGCGCAAGCCUGAUCCAGCAACGCCGCGUGAAGGAAGAAGGCUUUCGGGUUGUAAACUUCUUUUGUUAGGGACGAAGCAAGUGACGGUACCUGACGAAUAAGCCACGGCUAACUACGUGCCAGCAGCCGCGGUAAUACGUAGGUGGCAAGCGUUAUCCGGAUUUACUGGGUGUAAUGGGCGUGUAGGCGGGGAAGCAAGUCAGAUGUGAAAACCACGGGCUCAACCUGUGGCCUGCAUUUGAAACUGUUUUUCUUGAGUGCUGGAGAGGCAAUCGGAAUUCCGGGUGUAGCGGUGAAAUGCGUAGAGAUACGGAGGAACACCAGUGGCGAAGGCGGAUUGCUGGACAGUAACUGACGCUGAGGCGCGAAAGCGUGGGGAGCAAACAGGAUUAGAUACCCCAGUAGUC
rnacentral:rRNA from 1 species